CUAUAGCCCAAGGCCUUAAUGGGAGCCCUUGACUAAUGCCCAUCGUUCCCCUCAUCAGGAUUGUGGGCCCAUGGGUUCUGCAGGAACCGAUUGUCCCCCUGGGUGCAUGGAUAACUGUGGAGGGAAAUCUCCAGAUGGGCACCCAACUCAUAAAAAGUGCGAGCGGCCGGGACAACAGGGUUGGCCACAUGCAUAGCAAGAGGUGCUGGUGGGUGGGGGCUUUGAGCAAUACUGGUCUCCAGUCCAGAGGCGAGGGUGUUGGCAACGGGGAGCUGCAUGGCAGGAGAUGGAUUUAUGUGUGUCAGCUUCAUGCGGGAGUCGACUUCCAGAAAGUCGUGCAGAUAUCAUCAAAGGUGACAAGAUACUUGGCCUCCCAGUUGCUCACGAGUAACUCCGUCGAUGUGUUGGCCAUUUUGACUGUGCCACGAGGGCUUGCUGUGGUUGGGCAGGCAGUCACAGUAGUGCUCAGUAGUAGUUUCCCCGGUGGGGACAGGGAUAUCCCCCACAGGUCCCAGGCUGAAAGAUUGGCUGUUUCUCCCCUCUGUAAGUUAAGCCAGGUGAGUAGGUCGCAGUAGCCAUUGCAGGCUGCAGGCUAGAUAAUGGGACGCCAAGAUCACUCCAAAGUGCUCCCAAGAAGUCAGGAUCAAGUCAGUAAUCGCUUGGGUAAGUGGGAAUGUGACUUCGUCUCAAUCUUGUAGAUUAUAGGAAUUGUGUGUGAAGCCCACACAAAACACGUCUGUCAGCCAUGAUGGUUAGGCCCCCCAUCCAAUCUUUUUUAGCCGCCUCUUUGUCACAAACCCUAGCCAACGUUAUUGUCAUUUGUUUUUGGCAUUUUCCACACAGAAAUCUACACUUUUAUUGAUGAUAUUAUUGUUAUUAUCCAUCUUAGUGCUAUAAGACACUCACCUUUGUCUGUGAGUGUCUCAC